ensembl:lncRNA
GUCUGUUUUUAGGUCAGAGUUGUAAAUGAAGAGUUCCUGUCUGUGUAGGCCUUCCUUCCUCAGGUCCUGCUUCGCUUUCUAAACAGGACAGGAUUUGGUUAAUCUGGUUAAGUGAUUACUACCUAGUUCACAUACUGAUGAAGAGCCACUAGAUGAGUAGCAAUUAAUAUGGCACUCGUAAAAUCAGGGAUCAAGCGCUCAGGGACUGAUGUCUCUGGCGUUUUAUUGGCAGCGUCACAGGCGCUGAUCAUCAGAGCACAGAUAGUUGAGACCCUCGGCAGACCCAUCUCAGCCUCUCUUUCCAUCAGCAUGGAGCCGGGGUCGAGCUCCUGUCCGCGGGGUAAGUGUUCGGCGUCAGUGUUCAUAGUGCUGCUCUAUUGUAAUUAAUGCCAUUGUUCUUACUUCAGUUAUCGUUUUAAGCGGUGUUCUUGAAAGUUGCGAUCAUCUGUGUUGAGCUGGACCUCGUUUUUACUUCAACAAAUGUACGACUGCACUUCUGGAUCAUCUCAGGUGGUUGCUGUUUUAAUUUUGUCAACCAGAAUAACCUUUACUAAAAUGACUGUCAGCGACAUUUGGAAAGAUGUGACUAGUUGCACUUUUAAUAUGAAUAUUAAGGCAAGGAUAUAACCUGAACAGCUUCUCUAAAGCAACCAGUUGCAUUGAGCUCGUCUUCAUUCUUUCGUCAGUAGAUGUGAUAGUGCUGUUCUGAAACAUCACAGGUAUCUAAAAUGAGAUAUUUUGCCGUUUUAAUGUUGUCAACCAGAAUCUAACCUUUUCUGAUUGGACUUUACGUGAUAUGUUUGAAGAUGCCGAGCUAGAUCUCGUUUAUUUGCUUCAGUAGAUGUACAAUUACCCUUCUGGAACAUCUCAAGUAGAUGUUUUUCCAUUUUAAUGUUGUCAGCCAGAGAAGAAGCAUGUCUAAAAUGACUUUAAGUGAUGUUUUGAAGGAUGUGACUAGUUGCAUUGAACUAGUUGUAGUUGUUACUUUAGUAAAUGUGGAAUUGCUGUUCUGGGACUUGAUAAUUAUAGCUAGAAUUAGAUAUUUUGUCAUUUUAAUGUCAUCGACCAGAAUAUAACCUAGAUAUUUUUCAGUUUUAAUGUCAGUCAGAGCAUAAGCAAGUCUAAACCGACUUUAAGCGAUGUUCUGAAUGAUGUGACUAGUUGCAUUGAACAAGUCAUUGUCCAUACUUAAUUAGAUUUCCCAAUCAUUUAGAACAAGAUCGUUUUCCAUUUUAAUGUUGUCAGCCAGAGUAUAAGCCUGUCUAAACAGACUUUAAGCGAUGUUCUGAAUUAUGUGACGAGUUGCAUUGAGCUAGUCUUUGUUUUUACUUUAGUAGAUGUUUAUUUGCUGUUCUGGAACUUUUAGUUUAUCCACAAUGAUAUAUUU